UACGUAGGGAGCAAGCGUUGUCCGGAUUUACUGGGUGUAAAGGGUGCGUAGGCGGGGACGCAAGUCAGGCGUGAAAUCCACCGGCUUAACUGGUGGGCUGCGCUUGAAACUGCGUUUCUUGAGUGAAGUAGAGGCAGGCGGAAUUCCCGGUGUAGCGGUGAAAUGCGUAGAGAUCGGGAGGAACACCAGUGGCGAAGGCGGCCUGCUGGGCUUUUACUGACGCUGAGGCACGAAAGCGAGGGUAGCAAACAGG
rnacentral:rRNA from 1 species